AGAUUAAAAGACCAAGAGAAAACGAAAGCGCAAGACGAAGAACAAAGACGAAGACGCCAAUAUAAGGAUGCUGGUUUGAGGUGUUUGUAGGUUUAAGUGUGUAUAGGCCUAAUAUAGGGUGUACGCGCGAAGAAAGAAGAUCAAAGACGAAGACGCCGCUAAGGGAUGUCGGUUUCAGGUGGUUUAGGUUUAGUGUUUAAGUAUGAAUGUGUUUGUAUGUGUUAUAGGUGGUGCACUCUUACAGUGUUGCCAGCUACAUUUGCUGGACCUAAUCUUGCCAGCUAAUGCAAAUGAAUUGUUGCAACAAUCUUACUUGAUAAAGAAUGGCAUCUACUGUAGUGUUCAUUUCUUUAAAGUGUUUUACCUGUCGGGACUUGAAUCUUACAGCGGUUUUGUAUUGUCUCUGUUAGCUUUGCGAGAACUCUUGUCUUGGUACACAUAUACUCGAGUAAUAUCAACGCGCAUUAUAAUAUUUACACUUAACUUUUAGUCCCCUUUCUCUGCUUGUUCAAUUAAUAUAAAUACAAUUUAAAAGUUCCCACGCGAAGUUAAUCUUCGUUUUAUUUUGACACAACAUCGCGUUUGGUGUAAUUGGGACGACGGCCACGUCACAAUUACGCUUUACGUCGAUGCGGUGGGUCAGCAACGUCAUGACCCUGCGUUCGGUGCGGUUACGUUACGGUCGGUUUAGUUACGUUACAACUGCGGGUUUGUUACGUGGACGUCGCCGCUUUGCGGUUCGUAACAGCCACAGUAUGUCGUAACGGUCGAUGCGGUGCGUAACAGCCGGACGAUAUUAUAUUGUGUGAAGAUACGACGAGAGUAUCGCGGUACCAAGAU